ensembl:lncRNA
GUGAGUGCAGGGAUUGGCUGGACAUGUGAUGCGAGUUGCUGUCUGUUCAUGUAACCAAGAGAAGUUUCAUAAUUUUGAAAUGGCUUGACAUUAUUACAGAUGUGUUGGCUGAAACUGGAAAUGAAAGGUGUAGGAGUGAGCCCGCUGCACGGACAGUGAGGAUGUGAGAGAACUAGCGUGUCGGACCAGUAUGUUCAUCAGCAGCACAUAGUAGGAUACAACGCACAAUAAAGAACCAUGGGUGCCAGGUUCUGGUUUAUUUUGGUUAUUGCCAAUGAAGUGGCUGCCUUCACACGUCCACACCAACCUCCACCAUGUGAAGUGGGUAAGUGAUUACUGAGUGACGAUUUUAGAUUUUUGUAACAAAAAACUGAAUAGACUGUUUUUUUAUGUUUUAAAUCUCAUCCACAGUUCUCACAUUAUAUUGUAAUAAGAUGCUUGCGUGUUUUUGAAAAAAUAACAACAGUUUGCAGAGCUUUGCCUUUGAGUGGUAAGAGAGUGGGCUUAGACUCUAUCCCCCGUAUUUGGAAGAACACUUUGAGCCACUGCGCCCAAAUGGAGUUGAUCAAAUGCUAAUGCCUUGGGCUGUGCCCCAAUUGGAAUGCCCUUACCGCCCGUGCGGAGCGUAUGCAUUUGAACAACAAAGUAUUAUAGACUGUACAAUACAUUUGGACUCUAUGCUAGCUGAGUCUGCUCUUCUCUAAAAUGCUAGCCAAAUAAAACAUAAAUGAUGUUCUAUGUGUAUUUUGUACCAAGCAGGAAAUCAUUUUGGUUGUAGCAAUUCAUUCAUGCCAGCAUAAAUAGAUACUGCUUUAAUGCUUAGUCAAGCUCUGCAAUUUUUUGCAAUUUCUCUGUAAUUACCUACAUUAAUCCACUCUGUGGUUUUUAAUUUAAAUCAUACACUAAGGA